CAGUAGCCGCGGUAAUACAGAGGGUGCAAGCGUUAAUCGGAAUUACUGGGCGUAAAGCGCGCGUAGGUGGUUUGUUAAGUUGGAUGUGAAAUCCCCGGGCUCAACCUGGGAACUGCAUCCAAAACUGGCAAGCUAGAGUAUGGUAGAGGGUGGUGGAAUUUCCUGUGUAGCAGUGAAAUGCGUAGAUAUAGGAAGGAACACCAGUGGCGAAGGCGACCACCUGGACUGAUACUGACACUGAGGUGCGAAAGCGUGGGGAGCAAACAGGAUUAGAGACCCCCGUAGUCCCUGUCUCUUAUAC
rnacentral:rRNA from 1 species